rnacentral:rRNA from 1 species
GACGAACGCUGGCGGUGUGCCUAACACAUGCAAGUCGAACGGUAAGGCCCUUUCGGGGGUACACGAGUGGCGAACGGGUGAGUAACACGUGAGUAACCUGCCCUCAUCUCUGGGAUAACAGUCGGAAACGGUUGCUAAUACUGGAUAUGAGCCUGCAAGGCAUCUUGUGGGUUGGAAAGAUUUUUUGGUUGGGGAUGGACUCGCGGCCUAUCAGCUUGUUGGUGAGGUAGUGGCUCACCAAGGCUUCGACGGGUAGCCGGCCUGAGAGGGCGACCGGCCACAUUGGGACUGAGAUACGGCCCAAACUCCUACGGGAGGCAGCAGUGGGGAAUAUUGCACAAUGGACGGAAGUCUGAUGCAGCAACGCCGCGUGCGGGAUGACGGCCUUCGGGUUGUAAACCGCUUUCAAUUGUGACGAAGCUUUUUGUGACGGUAGCAGUAGAAGAAGCACCGGCUAACUACGUG